rnacentral:other from 1 species
AUGCCUCUGCGGUGUUCGUGAAUGAGCGUUCUUUUGGCGAACCGAUAAGAGUACCUGCGGGGAGCUUCCGCUUCGGCGUAGGGAUGGAAGGCGCGCACGCCCGCCAUAAGCGCGGGAUUCGCAAGAUUCAUCCCAGGCUUCCCAGCUUAAACAGCGGGUUCUCAAAAGCGCUCACACGGCACAGGUGGAGGUAUU